ACAAAGCAUCCUCACUUUGUGGCAAUUCAAACGGCGUGGCUACGAAAAAACGGAGUACAAUUUUGACUACUUAACUUAACCCUGGUUUGGUUUGAUUUUAUUAGCUUACAUCAUUUUGAUAGCAGAACCACAGCAGAAGGGGAAACGUUUGCAGAUAUGACUUGUAUAAUCAAGUGCUGCUGGUUCCACGUCCCUCGGCGUGUAUUUUAAUGGCUAAAUGCAAAGGAUUAUCGAGUCAUUGAGUGUGGAGGUGUCUGUGACCACGUUAUAUAAUGCUAGAUAUUUUUAUGAGAAAUCCACACCACUGUUCACUUUGCACGUCGUGUUGCUGCUGGAGGAGGUGUGAAGCAAAGUCACCAGCCAAAUAAACUUAAAAAAAACCCACUUCUUUAGAGACUGGAUAAAUGGGGUCUUCAGCACUCAGAAAAUGCUCCAAAGAAAUCAGGUAUAUUUGUGUUAUUGGAAACCUUCAAGGUAAUUAAUCUGUGAGAUUCAUCGUCCCAUUUCUUAAUAACUAGCAUUCUGUUAGCAAUCAUCAAGCCUGAAAGCCACAGAUCCCCAAAAUUGGAAUCCAAGUUCAUAAUCACAGAAGUUCUUGUGAGGUCAUACAAAAUGCUAAGCUGCGGUGUAUUUUCCACGAGGGCACACAGUAUUUCAGCAGCAGUUAGAAGGGUGUGCAGAAUCAUAGAAGCAUGGAAUUGCUCAGGCUGGAAAAGACCUUCAAGAUCAUCAAGUCCAACCACAGCCCAACCACCUAACCAUGCUACUAUCAGCCCACAACCCCUACAGACACAGAGGCAGAAACAUGCUUGCACACAGCUCCUGCGUGCACAGCCACACUGUGGGAUUAACCCCCUGGUACAAGAUUUGGCUUCAGCUUCAGUGAGGGACGCACGUGAUUUUAUUGUCACUGUGGUUCCAUACGUCAUAACUGCUACAGAGAUGGUAAUCACUAAAUUUAUUCUGCCAGGUGCAGGAGACUCACUGAUCAAAGAAGAGCUACUGUGUCUUCUUCCAGGUUUUGUUUAAUUCUGCAAUUGAUCCAAGAUAAUCAGAAGAUGAUGUUCCUAAACUCUUUUGCAAAGAAAGAUGGAAUCAUGUUUGCAUCUUCUAAAUUUUCCAAAGAUUUAUCGAUCAGGAAAUUCCAGGCAGAAUUUUUAUCAUAUGCUUGAAUUCUGUUGGUUAACUGGAGGCCAGAAAACCAAACGCACGUCAGUAUAUCGUCACGUUUCACCCCUCAGAAUCAAUUAUUUUUAUUUCCUCUGCAUUUCAACAGUCCUUUUAAGGAUAAAAUAACAUCCAGAACGGGAUGAAAAUCAAAGAUUUCUUUCAAGAUAGCAUUUUCUUUUGGAAUAAAAAUUCAUGUAAUCCAUCACUCAAAGAGCUACUGAAAUAAAAUCACCAGUAGUCUGUCAACUCUAGUAAGAAAGUCCCAUUGUCUUUCUGUUUUCCUCUACUUUACAAGGAAUAUCUGAGUAUUUCAUGUUGAUAGCUUGAUUGGCUGCACUGGGACUCUUUAAAAAUACUAAAAAAAUCAACAGUCUGGUACAAAUCAAACACAGGCUUCUUUCAAUCAUGUGCUUGGGGUAUUAUCUGAGGUUUCUACCCAGAAAGAUGUCAUUAAAAGUUGCAGAAAUUAAUUGGUGCCAUUGGCUGUAAUGGCCUUCCCUGACACGGUUUCUCAAAUGUAAAGGAAAAUUAUGGAUAAGGCAAAUUCCUCAUGGGAUUUUUAUGGAUGUCUGCUUUGUUCUGUUAUUGUUUAUUGCAAAUGUUAUUACUGUGAUCUAUUGCCCCAUCAUGCUUUGUCUAUACUGCUUAUGCCAUUUUGCAGCCCGUAACAACUGAGGGCUUCUGUCAUUGACCAAGAUAGCAUUUAUUUUUAAAUUCUAUGUUUUAUAUAAUCCUG
ensembl:lncRNA